rnacentral:rRNA from 1 species
ACUGCUCAGUAACACGUGGAUAACCUGCCCUGCGGUGGGAAAUAACCCCGGGAAACUGGGGAUAAUGUCCCAUAGGCUACGGAUACUGGAAUGUUCUGUAGUCAAAAGAUUUAUCGCCACAGGAUGGGUCUGCGGCCGAUUAGGUAGUUGUUGGGGUAAAGGCCCAACAAGCCUUUGAUCGGUACGGGUUGUGGGAGCAAGAGCCCGGAGAUGGAUUCUGAGACACGAAUCCAGGCCCUACGGGGCGCAGCAGGCGCGAAAACUUUACAAUGCGGGAAACCGUGAUAAGGGAACUCCGAGUGUCCGUAAAUUCGGACUGUCCGUAUGUUUAAAAAGCAUACGAAGAAAGGGCCGGGCAAGACCGGUGCCAGCCGCCGCGGUAAUACCGGCGGCUCGAGUGGUGGCCACUAUUACUGGGCUUAAAGCGUUCGUAGCUUGGUUGUUAAGUCUCUUGGGAAAUCUAUCGGCUUAACCGAUAGGCGUCCAGGGGAUACUGGCAAUCUAGGGACCGGGAGAGGUGAGGGGUACUUCAGGGGUAGGAGUGAAAUCCUGUAAUCCUUGGGGGACCACCUGUGGCGAAGGCGCCUCACCAGAACGGCUCCGACAGUGAGGGACGAAAGCUGGGGGAGCAAACCGGAUUAGAUACCCGGGUAGUCCCAGCCGUAAACGAUGCACGUUAGGUGUAUCGAUGACCACGAGUCAUCGAGGUGCCGAAGGGAAACCGUGAAACGUGCCGCCUGGGAAGUACGGUCGCAAGGCUGAAACUUAAAGGAAUUGGCGGGGGAGCAC